CCUACGGGAGACAGCAGUGAGGAAUCUUUGUCAAUGGGCGCUAGCCUGAACCAGCCAAGUAGCGUGAAGGAUGACUGCCCUAUGGGUUGUAAACUUCUUUUAUAUGGGAAUAAAGUGCAGUAUGUAUACUGCUUUGCAUGUACCUUAUGAAUUAGGAUCGGCUAACCCCGUGCCAGCAGCCGCGGUAAUACGGAGGAUCCGAGCGUUAUCCGGAUUUAUUGGGUUUAAAGGGAGCGUAGGCGGGUUGUUAAGUCAGUUGUGAAAGUUUGCGGCUCAACCGUAAAAUUGCAGUUGAUACUGGCAGACGGGAGUACAGUAGAGGUAGGCGGAAUUCGUGGUGUAGCGGUGAAAUGCUUAGAUAUCACGAAGAACUCCGAUUGCGAAGGCAGCCUGCUGGACUGUAACUGACGCUGAUGCUCGAAAGUGUGGGUAUCGAACAGGAUUAGAUACCCCAGUAGUC
rnacentral:rRNA from 1 species